AGAAAAUGCAAAUAAGAUGACAACACAAAGUACAACAAAGAAAGUUCAUGUUAAAUGGACUAAGAAGAUGAUGACGACACGAAGUGCAACUCAGAAAGAGAGUGUAAACAAGAUGACAACACAAAGUACAACUGAAAAAGACGUGGACAACUGCUGGUGAUUCCAACGCCUUUGCAGAACUUUAGCCUUCAGACUGCUGCUAUUUUAAAGUCCCACGCAGAUCUGGUCGAGGUGGAGGAGUAGCUACCAU